UACGUAGGAUGCAAGCGUUGUCCGGAGUUAUUGGGCGUAAAGCGCACGUAGGCGGUGCGGUAAGUGUGGUGUGAAAUCUGCGGGCUUAACCCGCAGCGGUCGCUGCAGACUGCCGUGCUUGAGGGCUGGAGAGGAAGAUAGAAUUCCCGGUGUAGUGGUGAAAUGCGUAGAUAUCGGGAGGAAUACCAGUGGCGAAGGCGGUCUUCUGGCCAGUUCCUGACGCUGAUGCGCGAAAGCCAGGGGAGCGAACGGG
rnacentral:rRNA from 1 species